GUCAUGUCACAUCCAAGAAUCAUGAAUUGCAUCUUAUCAGGUUCAAGUGCUGAAAUGAAGUAGAGUCUGUGUUCGAGGCAAAGCCAUUGCAACAAUGUCUUCAGUACGAGCCUUAUGCGACCGCCAGCUAGCUGUCCCCUCCCAGCAUCCAGGAAACCCCAAACCACUGCUGUGUACUGGAAACAUUACAGCAAAUCUUUGUAGAGAUGGAGAUCGAGGCAAUGCCCUGAAGGAUCAGUGAUCAUCAGAACCUACUGAGUCCAAAAUACACUUCGAUUUCAUAUUUUUCACAGAAAAGGUACUAUUUAUAUAACUUGUUUUUUAAGUGCCAAUUAAUUAAAAACAAAACCAUUAAGGUGCAUUUUUUUUGGUGGGGAGUGGAGCAUUUUUGUGGAUUACUUUGUGAAUUAGAGGGCAGGUUGGUGAGGUGGAACCAAACCUUUUUAUUUCACUAACACUGUAUUAAUAAUUGGUAAUGUUAGUUGUUUAGAGCAAGUUUUUGGUUUCUUAUCUUUUUUGAGCUAAAGCUGCAAACUGUUGUGUGUAGAGAAUUCAGUCAAGCCACAGUGUUUUGAAGCAAGCAUUGUUAGGGUUUCUUUUCUUCUAUUAGAAUACAGUCGGGCUAUUGAAUGACAAAUAGGACACAUACGUUUAAAAAGAUUUAUUUAGUAUAAAUGAAAGAGACAUUAUGAAAAUGUAUAUUUUACAUGUUGAUGCUAUUUUUGUUUAACAAAAAGGAAAAGACUAUAUCAUGUCGAGCUUUAGUAUUGAGUUGAGCAGGUAAAUUACUGCCUUUGGUUCUCCCCGUCCUGCCCAUGGUAAACAUAAACAUACACACCAAUCACACCGAUGGUUUGCUUUUUCUUUCUUUUUUUUUUUUUUUUUGUUUUAAUCAUAUCAUUCAGACUUUUUUUUCUGGCUAAAUAACAAAACUUAGCAAGUUCACUAAAAAGAAAGCAUGCACAAACUUGCUGUCUUAGCUGUCUGUUAACAUUUUUGAUUUCUUACAUAGAACUACAGGAUUUACUUGAUAAUUUUCCAGAAUUUAUGAUGUACAGUAUUUAAUAUAGGCCUAUUUUGUUGUAUGUGUUGCAUAAUAUUCAAAAACCGAAACAAACUGGGGCCUCUGUUACAAGUGGCAAAGCUUUCUGUGUAUAAUUUGUCUAAUAAACAGGUUUUCUACAGUGGGAUGUAUUUCUUGUGUUUGCUUACCGGACAACAAAUGACUCAUUUAGCAUGUUUUUUUGUUUGUUUGUUUUUGUUUUUGUUUUUUUUUUCCCAUAAUAAAAACGCAAUUUAGAGUAACUGUAGACAUUACUGUAUUAUAAUGUGAUUUUAUAUGAACAAUAUGGCAAAGGAUUACUAUUUUAUACCUGAAACCUUUCCUUUUUGUCAAUAGAUGUUUUAAAUUUUUAUUUUCCUGGAUUCUUCCCAACUCUACAAGAAAUAUCUUGCUGGUAAAUUAAACUACACUGUAUAUUUAGGUGUUUCUCUACUGGACUGGCGACUGGUUUGGGGAAGACCUGAUGAAGAUGCUCAUAAUCCCCUCCUGGCCCUAUAAAGAUUAAGCAGGUAUAUAAAAUCAAUGGAUGAGUUGAACUUAAAGAGGAACAAACUUUAGACAUCCAAGAAGGUGUCAAACACAAGACUUUUCUCCACAAGAAGAACUUAGAGAUUUUUAGUAAUUACCACAUGGUUUGCCAGGUUAAUGUAGCUUUGUUUAUACAUUAAAUCAUCUGUAUAACAUUUGUU